UACAGAGGGUGCUAGCGUUGUUCGGAAUCAUUGGGCGUAAAGGGCGUGUAGGCGGUUUGUUAAGUCAUGUGUGAAAUCCCUCGGCUCAACCGGGGAACGACGCAUGAAACUGGCAAGCUAGAGUACCAAAGAGGGGGGUGGAAUUCCCGGUGUAGCGGUGAAAUGCGUAGAUAUCAAGAGGAACACCUGAGGUGAAGACGGGUUGCUGGGCUGACACUGACGCUGAGGCGCGAAAGCCAGGGGAGCAAACGGG
rnacentral:rRNA from 1 species